GGACGAACGCUGGCGGCGUGCUUAACACAUGCAAGUCGAACGAAGAGCGAUGGAAGCUUGCUUCUAUCAAUCUUAGUGGCGAACGGGUGAGUAACGCGUAAUCAACCUGCCCUUCAGAGGGGGACAACAGUUGGAAACGACUGCUAAUACCGCAUACGAUCCAAUCUCGGCAUCGGGACUGGAUGAAAGGUGGCCUCUAUUUAUAAGCUAUCACUGAAGGAGGGGAUUGCGUCUGAUUAGCUAGUUGGAGGGGUAACGGCCCACCAAGGCGAUGAUCAGUAGCGGGCCGGAAGGAUGGACGGCCCCAAUGGGACUGGGAACAGGGCCCAGAUCCCUCCGGGAGGCACCAGUGGGGAUCUUCCGCCAUGGACGGAAGGCUGGCUGAACAACGCCGCGGGAGUGAUGAAGGGCUUCGGGUUGUAAAGCUCUGUUAAUCGGGACGAAUGGUUCUUGUGCGAAUAGGGCGAGGAUUUGACGGUACCGGAAGAGAAAGCCACGGCUAACUACGUG
rnacentral:rRNA from 1 species